CACAUAUGAAAUUUUGACAAUAAAUAUUUAAUAUAUACAUAGCUCUCUGUGUGUGUAUAAAGAAAGCCCUUAGGGUUCCUUCCUCACAAAGCCUGAGCCAAGGACUCCUUGUAUCUGCAGGCUGGACUGGAGGAGCUCUGGUUUCUGGCUCUGGAUUGUCUUCACCGGGAAGAGCAGAUUGCUGUUGUAUAGUCUGUGAGGUGGCCCUCUAAGCAGAUGACAAGAGAUGCAUUUAAAGCCAUCAGCAGUCAGGCUGAGGACAGAACUCGAGCAGAACAACCUGCCUCCUGGGCAAGAAGUCCUGGGUCCCAUCCCCAGCACUGCAAAAACAAACAUCUUUAGGUGUCCAAUUUUGUACUCCAAAAUCGUUUUUAAGAUAUUUAACUGUUUUCAUUUCCCUUAGAUGUGUAAUACUUAAGGCUGGAAGCUUUAUAUUUUUACAUUUUCCAAAAACAAAUUUCCCACCCAACACAUCAUAACUUUAUAGCGUAACUUGGUAACAGUGGAACACUGAGACCCUUCCUGAAGAAAUCUACUGCAGGCAGAACAGAAGGACCCCUUGAAGGCGGGAGCUGAGCUUUGCUCCUGCUGUUCCCUUCUUCACAGAGAGCCCACUUCCAACAGCUACUCUGAGUGGGAGAAGCAAUCUGCAAUAGUUAGGUAGAGCCUCUGCGCCCCCACCACUGCCCUGGACGCAACUGCCAGUUCCUAGAGGGGUGGAGAAGAUCGUAUCUUCUAGAGAGCUCAGUAGGUAAGUGGACAACUGCCGUCCUCCAAGCUGUGCUGGGACUCACCACACCACAGUGUAGACGCCACAGGGGAACUGCAUCACUGACCCAGAGGCCUGGGGACAGGAACCAGAGGUGACAUGGAGACAUCGGGCAUGCUACCCUAGGCUUGUGAUCCCAGUUCCUUGAGAGGCUGAGACAGGAGGACCAAGAGUCCAAGGCCUGUCUGGGCUACAGAGUGAGUUUAAGGCCAGCUGGGUAAUUUAGAUCCCAUCUUGAUCUUAAAAAAAAAGGUCAAGAAUCUACCUCAGUGGUAAAGCGCCUGCCUAGCAUGUGCACACCCUAGGUUCAGUUCCCAGUGAGGAGAGAUGGGAGCCAGCUGCGGGCUGUCUUAAGCCAAGCCAAGAUGUCUCUGGUCUCUACCCCUAGGAGCACAGUCCAACUGCAGGAGAGUGCCACAGCCCUUACUGCCCACUCAGCAAGCUGCUGCUUCCUUCUCACCAGACAUUUGGUCAGCAAGAGCCACAGCCACUUUUUUUUAAAUCAGAUACAAUGGGGGAGAAAAUAGCUCUUCCUUUGAGGAACUUAAACAUCUUAGAGUGAGAAAACAGGGAGAUGAACACAUAGUCACAGGCGGCUUCUGCAGACUCUUGUCCUUACAUGGCAUACGGCUCACUGUAGGUUCUUCAGAUGUCCCCUGAGGAGCUCUUCAUAGCACCAAAUGGACCCCUGGUGCCUGACAUUACAGCUUCCAUGGCUCAACUACAUGCCACCAUCACUACCACCCAUCUCCUAGGCCAUGUGACCUGCAAAAGGAAUUUACCACUGAAGCCAAAGGCAUCAUUUCAAAAUGAAAGUCCGCACCAUUAAACCAAGAUACUGAAAAGGAAAAAGAAAGCACUCUCGAAGAGUGUGGCUUCCCAAGGAAUCCCACACCCCACUGUAGCACUAACGUUGAACAAGCUUUGCAUUGGAAUCGUAUGUUUUAUUCACCAGAAGGGCCACGCUAUCAACAGACCCUGGGACACCAUCCAGUCUGUUGCAGCUGCAACCCUGACACCAUAAGGGACUUCCUGAGAACUUUCCUCUAUAGCUCAAUUUCUGCGGGAGUGGUUUACGGUAACCCUUACACAGCACUUAUGCAAUAGUAAAGUCAAUGCCCACAACACAAAAUUUAAAUGGCCUGUUUCAUACCAGAUUUCCCCAUAGCAAAAUCCUAAUAAUAUUACAAGUUAUCUCCACUCAGUUCCAACCCCCACCCCCACCCCCUUGGGCUUUCCUGGCUCUGGGCCUCAAGGUCUCCCCAGGUUGUCUCCUACUCUGUGUCAUCAUGGGGUCCCAGUAUUGGUGCCCAUCAGGCCUAAGGUCCCAGGACAGGCUACCAAAAUGGUUGCCAGUUACUCUAAGCAUGAAGCUUGCUGAUUUAACAUGAUGGGACCCCUUACCCUGUAUGCACAUCAGCACUGUUAAGAUGUAACCCCCGUGAACCUCGUUACAGCUGACUGCCAAUCGCACUUCCUGAAGGUAAACUUGGAUAGCACAUUGUAGACAUAGUUUGCUUGAAUUUGAUUAUUAUUUGCUCUCCACCUGACAUAGGAUUCUGUUGUCUAAACUUGGUCUUGACAACGUCCAUUCAGGACGUCAUUAUGGCGAAGGGAACCGCAGAGGAAGAGGAAAGCGCCCCAGAAAGAGCUGAGACAGGCAGAGCACCCCCCACCUCCUUUGCUGGGAAAUAAAACUGCAAGCAGUU